rnacentral:rRNA from 1 species
AGUGGCGGACUGGUGAGUAACACAUGGGCAAUCUUCCCCCCGGAUCGGAAUAACAGAGCGAAAGCGCUGCUAAUACCGGAUAUACCGCUCGCAUGGAAAGGCGCGCCGAGGGAUGAGCCUGUGGCCCAUUAGCUGGUUGGCGGGGUAACGGCCCACCAAGGCGACGAUGGGUAGCUGGUUUGAGAGGACGAUCAGCCACAUUGGGACUGAGAUACGGCCCAGACUCCUACGGGAGGCAGCAGUGAGGAAUUUUCCGCAAUGGGCGAAAGCCUGACGGAGCGACGCCGCGUGGGUGACGAAGGUUUUCGGAUCGUAAAACCCUGUCAGGGGGAAAGAAUGACGGUACCCCCAAAGGAAGCACCGGCCAACUACGUGCCAGCAGCCGCGGUAAUACGUAGGGUGCGAGCGUUAU